UGUAUUUUCCAGAUCCAUCGUGGAAUGAGAAGUCUUAUAACAGUAACAAAAACGUAGCAUGACCAUGACCAUCAGCAAAAGCAAGAUUGAUAUAUCGGGUGGUCAGAAUACCUAACAAUGGGUCAAGUUCACUUCUCUACAAAUAUGAGAGGCAAAAAUAAACCAUAACAAUCGGUAAGUUCAGAAC